GACGAACGCUGGCGGCGUGCUUAACACAUGCAAGUCGAACGGAAAGGCCUGCUUUCCCUUGUGUAUUGCGGGUACUCGAGUGGCGAACGGGCGAGUAACACGUGAGUGAUCUGCCCCCAACUUUGGUAUAAGCCUGGGAAACUGGGUCUAAUUCCCGAUAGCACUGCAGGGUGGUGCCGGUGGUGGAAAACGAUGUUCUAGUGGUUGGGGAUGAGCUCGCGGCCUAUCAGCUUGUUGGUGGGGUAAUGGCCUACCAAGGCGGCGACGGGUAGCCGGCCUGGGAGGGUGGGCGGCCACAGUGGGACUGCGAUACGGCCCCGACGCCUACGCGAGGACGCAGUGGGGAGUAUUGCGUGAUGGGCGGAAGCCUGAUGCAGCGACGCCGCGUGGGGGAUGCCGGCCUUCGGAUUGUAACCUCCUUUCGGCCGCGAGGAAGCCACCUGGUUGGAAGGGUGGUGACGGUAGUGGUAGAAGAAGCACCGGCUAACUACGUG
rnacentral:rRNA from 1 species